rnacentral:rRNA from 1 species
GGCGAGUGGCGAACGGGUGAGUAAUAUAUCGGAACGUACCCUAGAGUGGGGGAUAACGCAGCGAAAGUUGCGCUAAUACCGCAUACGAUCUACGGAUGAAAGUGGGGGAUCGCAAGACCUCAUGCUCAUGGAGCGGCCGAUAUCUGAUUAGCUAGUUGGUGGGGUAAAAGCCUACCAAGGCAUCGAUCAGUAGCUGGUCUGAGAGGACGACCAGCCACACUGGAACUGAGACACGGUCCAGACUCCUACGGGAGGCAGCAGUGGGGAAUUUUGGACAAUGGGCGCAAGCCUGAUCCAGCAAUGCCGCGUGAGUGAAGAAGGCCUUCGGGUUGUAAAGCUCUUUUGUCAGGGAAGAAACGGUGAGGGCUAAUAUCCUUUGCUAAUGACGGUACCUGAAGAAUAAGCACCGGCUAACUACGUGCCAGCAGCCGCGGUAAUACGUAGGGUGCAAGCGUUAAUCGGAAUUACUGGGCGUAAAGCGUGCGCAGGCGGUUAUGUAAGUCAGAUGUGAAAUCCCCGGGCUCAACCUGGGAAUGGCAUUUGAGACUGCAUGGCUAGAGUGUGUCAGAGGGGGGUAGAAUUCCACGUGUAGCAGUGAAAUGCGUAGAGAUGUGGAGGAAUACCGAUGGCGAAGGCAGCCCCCUGGGAUAACACUGACGCUCAUGCACGAAAGCGUGGGGAGCAAACAGGAUUAGAUACCCUGGUAGUCCACGCCCUAAACGAUGUCUACUAGUUGUCGGGACUUAAUUGUCUUGGUAACGCAGCUAACGCGUGAAGUAGACCGCCUGGGGAGUACGGUCGCAAGAUUAAAACUCAAAGGAAUUGACGGGGACCCGCACAAGCGGUGGAUGAUGUGGAUUAAUUCGAUGCAACGCGAAAAACCUUACCUACCCUUGACAUGUACGGAACCUCUGAGAGAUUAGAGGGUGCUCGAAAGAGAGCCGUAACACAGGUGCUGCAUGGCUGUCGUCAGCUCGUGUCGUGAGAUGUUGGGUUAAGUCCCGCAACGAGCGCAACCCUUGUCAUUAGUUGCUACGAAAGGGCACUCUAAUGAGACUGCCGGUGACAAACCGGAGGAAGGUGGGGAUGACGUCAAGUCCUCAUGGCCCUUAUGGGUAGGGCUUCACACGUCAUACAAUGGUACAUACAGAGGGCCGCCAACCCGCGAGGGGGAGCUAAUCCCAGAAAGUGUAUCGUAGUCCGGAUUGUAGUCUGCAACUCGACUACAUGAAGUUGGAAUCGCUAGUAAUCGCGGAUCAGCAUGUCGCGGUGAAUACGUUCCCGGGUCUUGUACACACCGCCCGUCACACCAUGGGAGCGGGUUUCACCAGAAGUAGGUAGCCUAACCGC